GUAAAUAAUUGAAGUUAAUAACUAAAACAAUCCCCCUCCAGAACAUGAUGCUCUAAAUUACCUCAACUAUUAUCCAUAUUCCCCCUAUUACUAAAAGGAAAUUUCACAUACUGUAUCUUAGAUCUACUUGAUCAAACCCUUUAAAUUCCAGAAUGUAAACAAUUUCAAUAGUAGAUUUUACUAAUUUAGCCCCUGUUUGGCCCCCAUUCUGUAACAAUAAAAAUGGGUGGAAUAAUAUUUUUUUGAAAAAUGAGUGGUUUAAAAAGAGGAAAAUUUUUCUAUUUACAUGUAAUAUUAUUUUAUGAAAGAUUGUGUAGUUGAAAAUAAGAGAGAAAAAUUGAAUGGAAAUUAAUGGGGCCAAGCGGGUGCUUAAAACCAAACUAGCUUCGUAAGAUCUUCGAUUCAAAUGUUACUCUAUGCUCGACAAAAUCUUCCAAUAUCCACUUCAAAUAAUUUCUCGCAAUCUUUUAUAUUAUGAGUAAGAUUAGAACUCUCAUCUUUAAUGCACUUUAUUGGUUUAAAUCUCUACAUUCCUUCUCUCUUUUCCAAGAUAUGAGUUCUCCCUAUUAAUGGCUCCAAGUUCAGUUCACAACUUCUCAUAUGUCUCCGCAUGGGACUCUGAAUCAUCAAUUAGAUUUACAUUCAGAUAAUUCAUACUUUAAAAGUCUCAUAUUUUGGUAAGCUUCAAAUCUCAAUUGUCAUCUAAACAUUCUUGUUCCAACAUGUUCCGAUAUUAGAUAGUUGUCUACUUUACACUCCUAACAUCUUGUUCUUCAAACACAAUUAUCCAUCCAAUUGACAUCGUGUUAAUAUCUCCUUAUAUAUCCAAUUUUUCUUACUUCAAAACUCUUAUCUUGUUAAUAACUUGGAAGCUUACACUAUCUUGCUCUAAUAAUUCAUACCUCUUUGGUACAUUAACCAAAGGGGUAAAUCCUCUGCAUUUAUAUAAAUUUUUUUAACUUUUAUACUUUUUAAUUUAUUUUCAAUAGAGUUAAUGCUCAUGACUUCGAUUUAGCAAACAUGUCGAUUGCACAAAGAAAUUGGUAAUCGGUGAACAAAAGGACAUUUUAGUGCUUGUUUGGCACCUGUUUAUAAUUUGUUUAUAAUUGAUCAAAUCACUUUUGAUCCAGCCCACCAAUACUACCCAGUGAUCCACAACAUAUUUUUUAUCUAUUUAUAAUUUAAAUAAAAAUGGUGGGCC
rnacentral:lncRNA from 1 species